GUCUGGAGAGGAAGAACAGGACAGUUUCCUUCGCUUCCUCUUCUGGAUCCAAGGUCUGCACAAGGAGAGGAGCUCAGAUUGGGCUUUGAGCUGAGAAACAGAGGUUCAAGUCUGGCCCUGCUGCGGCUGGCUGUGUGACCUGGACUGAGUCCCUUGACAUCUCCAGGCCUCUGCUUCCUCAUCUGCCACCAAGAGGCUGGACUGAACGCAAGCCCUGUCAUAGGGCAAGGGAUACAGAGAAGCCCUAGACGGGGAGACAUUUUCCCCACCACUUCUCCAUCCAGGACGAGUCUCCUGCCAGGCAUCUUCAAGUCUCACACAGAAACGUCUAUCCUCUCUCUCCUGAGGACUACAGAAACCCAGACUCCAGCAUGAGCUUUCCCUCUCCUGCUCCAACCCAGGCAAGAGGCUCCAGAUCCUCCUGGCAGCUGUCAGCAUCAGCCAGUCCCUAGACUCAAAUCCCAGCAGCUCGAUGGCAAGUUCCACGGACCUGGGCAAUCUUGGGUCUCAUCUGGAAAAUGGGAGCACCUGGCUUCUCAGGAGGGCCCAACCCCGCCAGCACGGAUCCCAAGGCCCUGGGCUUGUGGAGCCCGUGCAGGAGGCCACCCUUGGGGGCUGAGAUUGGGGAACACCCCAGCUAUAAGAAGAGCUGCCUGUGGAGGCAGGAGAGACACAAGAAAGAAAACUCUGAAGACUUAGCCGGCCUCCAGACUCCACCCUAACAUACAGAAAUCACCACAGAAAAGGAAGCGGCGUGUUACAGCCCCAGGAGCCUAAAGCUCUAAGCACGGGAAACGCUGCCUUGGCACCCUGAUCCCUCAGUACUCAUUUGACCUACUUUGUGCCAGACAAGGCCCUACCACCAAUCACAGUGCUUCUAUCAGACCCAACCACCACCAGGCCCCUCUGCCAAGGACUCCAUGUCAGACCACCAGGACACCUGAUUUUGCCCUGUCAACCUUGGGUUUGAGUGAAUGAAGGAAUGUUUUCAGCAACGAUUAGUUACUGGGUGCCAGGCUCUGAGUUAUGCCCCAAGUGUGGUGGGCAUCAUGAUGGCCCAGCUGGGUCCCCUAAGGUGAGGACUUGUUGCUCAGGUUCCCAAGGGGGCUGGCCAACCAUCUGGCCCUUUAGGCAUGGCCUCAGCUCCAUGGAUCCACCUUUCACAAGAUCUGACGCUUCCUAGGGCUGCACAGAUUCAUGCCGAUGCAUUCGAGAGUAUAAAGGACCCCUUCGAAAUGACUCUGGAGAGCAGCCCUGGUGCCAGGACUCCCACAGGGCUGGCUGAGGC
ensembl:lncRNA